GCAAUCUUUGCCUCAAAAGAUUGCCGACCGCUGCUCUACAAGGUUCACAUAGGCUCUCUACCUCCUACUCCUACUCAAUACAUCCCCGUCGUACGAAACGGUAAGAUGUUUCUACCCAAAACCCAAGUCUUUGGGCGGAUGGGUUGCAUGGGUAAAUUAAGAGCG
rfam:Anopheles gambiae str. PEST whole genome shotgun sequencing project, whole genome shotgun sequence.